UACGAAGGGGGCUAGCGUUGCUCGGAAUCACUGGGCGUAAAGCGCACGUAGGCGGAUCUUUAAGUCAGGGGUGAAAUCCUGGAGCUCAACUCCAGAACUGCCUUUGAUACUGGGGAUCUCGAGUCCGGAAGAGGUGAGUGGAACUGCGAGUGUAGAGGUGAAAUUCGUAGAUAUUCGCAAGAACACCAGUGGCGAAGGCGGCUCACUGGCCCGGUACUGACGCUGAGGUGCGAAAGCGGUGGGGAGCAAACAGG
rnacentral:rRNA from 1 species